rnacentral:rRNA from 1 species
GUGCCUAAUACAUGCAAGUCGAGCGAACGGACGAGAAGCUUGCUUCUCUGAUGUUAGCGGCGGACGGGUGAGUAACACGUGGAUAACCUACCUAUAAGACUGGGAUAACUUCGGGAAACCGGAGCUAAUACCGGAUAAUAUUUUGAACCGCAUGGUUCAAAAGUGAAAGACGGUCUUGCUGUCACUUAUAGAUGGAUCCGCGCUGCAUUAGCUAGUUGGUAAGGUAACGGCUUACCAAGGCAACGAUGCAUAGCCGACCUGAGAGGGUGAUCGGCCACACUGGAACUGAGACACGGUCCAGACUCCUACGGGAGGCAGCAGUAGGGAAUCUUCCGCAAUGGGCGAAAGCCUGACGGAGCAACGCCGCGUGAGUGAUGAAGGUCUUCGGAUCGUCAAACUCUGUUAUUAGGGAAGAACAUAUGUGUAAGUAACUGUGCACAUCUUGACGGUACCUAAUCAGAAAGCCACGGCUAACUACGUGCCAGCGGCCGCGGUAAUACGUAGGUGGCAAGCGUUAUCCGGAAUUAUUGGGCGUAAAGCGCGCGUAGGCGGUUUUUUAAGUCUGAUGUGAAAGCCCACGGCUCAACCGUGGAGGGUCAUUGGAAACUGGAAAACUUGAGUGCAGAAGAGGAAAGUGGAAUUCCAUGUGUAGCGGUGAAAUGCGCAGAGAUAUGGAGGUACACCAGUGGCGAAGGCGACUUUCUGG